rnacentral:tRNA from 2 species
GGGCCGUUGGCGCAGCGGUAGCGCACCUCAUUUGCAAUGAGGGGGUCGCCGGUUCGAAUCCGGCACGGUCCA